GUGUGUGUGUGUGUGUGUGUGUGUGUUUUUGCAUAAUGCAAUACACACAUAUACAUACACACACAUAUACACAUAUGUGUUAUGCGUGUAUACAUAUACUAUAUAAAUA